AUUGAACGCUGGCGGCAGGCCUAACACAUGCAAGUCGAGCGCGCGUCGGACGGGUGAGUAAUGUAUGGGGACUGCCCGAUAGAGGGGGAUAACUACUGGAAACGGUGUCUCCUACCGCAUACUCUAGGAUCACCCACAUGGGAUUUGCUAGUAGGUAAGGUAAUGGCUUACCUAGGCGACGAUCCCUAGCUGGUCUGAGAGGAUGAUCAGCCACACUGGGACUGAGACACGGCCCAGACUCCUACGGAGGCAGCAGUGGGGAAUAUUGCACAAUGGGCGCAAGCCUGAUGCAGCCAUGCCGCGUGUAUGAAGAAGGCCCUAGGGUUGUAAAGUACUUUCAGUCGGGAGGCGUUACCGACAGAAGAAGCACCGGCUAACUCCGUGCCAGCAGCCGCGGUAAUAC
rnacentral:rRNA from 1 species